rnacentral:tRNA from 1 species
GUAAAUAUAGCUCAGAAGGUAGAGCAAUAGUUUGUGAUACUAUUGGUCAUGGGUUCAACUCCCAUUAUUUACCCUA